AGUGGGGAAUCUUAGACAAUGGGGGAAACCCUGAUCUAGCCAUGCCGCGUGAGCGAUGAAGGCCUUAGGGUUGUAAAGCUCUUUCAGCUGGGAAGAUAAUGACGGUACCAGCAGAAGAAGCCCCGGCUAACUCCGUGCCAGCAGCCGCGGUAAUACGGAGGGGGCUAGCGUUGUUCGGAAUUACUGGGCGUAAAGCGCGCGUAGGCGGGCUGUUAAGUCGGGGGUGAAAUCCCGGGGCUCAACCCCGGAACUGCCUUCGAUACUGGCAGCCUAGAGGUCGAGAGAGGUGAGUGGAAUUCCGAGUGUAGAGGUGAAAUUCGUAGAUAUUCGGAGGAACACCAGUGGCGAAGGCGGCUCACUGGCUCGAUACUGACGCUGAGGUGCGAAAGUGUGGGGAGCAAACAGGAUUAGAUACCCUGGUAGUCCACACCGUAAACGAUGAAUGCCAGACGUCGGGCAGCAUGCUGUUCGGUGUCACACCUAACGGAUUAAGCAUUCCGCCUGGGGUGUACGGCCGCAAGGUUA
rnacentral:rRNA from 1 species